GCUCGGCCAGUGGAGGGAAGUCCCCCAGCGCAGACCGCGUCUCCGCCCGCGUCCCUGAGAAAUGGAGUGCAAGUUACUGCCCGCAGAGAAGGAGGAGUUGGUGGCCUGGGGCUUCUGGAAGAGAAGGUUUGUAACCACCGCCGGAAGGAAGGGGAGAAGGAACCAACCAGACCAGCAGGACUGGGAAGCGUGGGGCCACCCGUCUGCGCUUGGAGACGGGCCACUGCUCCCUGCUGUCAGCAUGCCCUCCAGUACUCAGCCACCUUCUCGUGAAGCCUGGGAUGUGAUUCUUCCUCCUGCAACUCUUUCCUGAGGGCACAGGGUGAGCAUCAACAGCAGCUUCUGCAGGAAAGUUGAGCCCGUGCAGGCAUCUCAGCUGCCCCCAUCAAGACUCCGUCUGGGCCCUGAGGCCAUCCCACCAUGGCUCCUGGCCUAGUACCAGCAUCUCCUGCAGGUGCGAGUUCUUUUAGGAACAAAGAAACAAAAGAAUGAGGCUCUAAGGUAGAAUUUCAGGCAGGACAGCUGCUGGACUUAAGAUUUUAGAGAGGGAGUGACCCCAUGGACUAGCCCACCAGGCUCCUCUGUCCAUGGGAUUUUUCAGGCAAGAAUACUGGAGUCAGUUGCCAUUUCCUUCUCCAGGGGAUCUUCCCGACCCAGGGAUUGAACCCAUUUCCUGCGUCUCCUGCGUUGGCAGGCAGAUUCUUUACCACUGAGUCACCUGGGAAGCUCUCCUUUAAGUUCAUUGCCUUCAAUACUGCUACCAGAAAGCCACAUUCUCUUUGGCUGGGGGAGAAUGGAUACAUGUAUAUAUGGCUGAAUCCCUUGUUGUUCACCUGAAAGUGUCCCAGCACUGUUCAUUGGCUAUACCCCAAUAC
ensembl:lncRNA